AUAGCCCAGAGAAAUUUGGAUUAAUGCCCCAUGGUACCACGGAUCGCAUGACUAUGUGGUUAAAGAUUUAUCGGAAGGGGAUGGCGAUGCGUAUCAUUAGCUUGUUGGUAAGGUAACGGCUUACCAAGGCAACGAUGAUUAGGGGCCCUGAGAGGGGGAUCCCCCACACUGGUACUGAGACACGGACCAGACUCCUACGGGAGGCAGCAGUGAGGAAUAUUGGACAAUGGCCGGAAGUUGAUCCAGCCAUGCCGCGUGCGGAUGACGGCCCUAUGGUUGUAAACCGCUUUUGUACGGGAAGAAACCCCGCCACGUGUGGGCUGACGGUACCGUAAGAAUAAGGACCGGCUAACUCCGUGCCAGCAGCCGCGGUAAUACGGAGGGUCCGAGCGUUAUCCGGAAUCAUUG
rnacentral:rRNA from 1 species